rnacentral:rRNA from 1 species
UACGUAGGGCGCAAGCGUUGUUCGGAAUUACUGGGCGUAAAGGGCGCGUAGGCGGCCUUCUAAGUCAAACGUGAAAUCCCCAGGCUUAACUUGGGAACUGCGUCCGAUACUGGGAGGCUUGAGUGCGGGAGAGGGAUGUGGAAUUCCAGGUGUAGCGGUGAAAUGCGUAGAUAUCUGGAGGAACACCGGUGGCGAAGGCGGCAUCCUGGACCGACACUGACGCUGAGGCGCGAAAGCUAGGGGAGCAAACGGG